AUUGAACGCUGGCGGCAUGCUUUACACAUGCAAGUCGAACGGUAACAGGUUAAGCUGACGAGUGGCGAACGGGUGAGUAAUGCAUCGGAACGUGCCCGGUCGUGGGGGAUAACGCAGCGAAAGCUGCGCUAAUACCGCAUACGAUCUGAGGAUGAAAGCGGGGGACCGUAAGGCCUCGCGCGAUCGGAGCGGCCGGUGCCAGAUUAGGUAGGUGGUGGGGUAAAGGCUCACCAAGCCAACGAAAUGUACCUGGUCUGAGAGGACGACCAGCCACACUCGGACUGAAACACGGACCAGACUCCUACGGGAGGCAGCAGUGUGGAAUUUUGGACAAUGGGCGAAAGCCUGAUCCAGCAAUGCCGCGUGCAGGAAGAAGGCCUUCGGGUUGUAAACUGCUUUUGUACGGAGCGAAAAGGUCUCCUCUAAUACAGGGGGCUCAUGACGGUACCGUAAGAAUAAGCACCGGCUAACUACGUGCCAGCAGCCGCCGUAA
rnacentral:rRNA from 1 species